GGGGAAUAUUGGACAAUGGGCGCAAGCCUGAUCCAGCCAUGCCGCGUGAGUGAUGACGGCCUUAGGGUUGUAAAGCUCUUUCACCCACGACGAUAAUGACGGUAGUGGGAGAAGAAGCCCCGGCUAACUUCGUGCCAGCAGCCGCGGUAAUACGAAGGGGGCUAGCGUUGUUCGGAUUUACUGGGCGUAAAGCGUACGUAGGCGGGUGGUUAAGUCAGAGGUGAAAUCCCGGAGCUCAACUUCGGAACUGCCUUUGAUACUGGCCAUCUUGAGUUCGGGAGAGGUGAGUGGAACUGCUAGUGUAGAGGUGAAAUUCGUAGAUAUUAGCAAGAACACCAGUGGCGAAGGCGGCUCACUGGCCCGAUACUGACGCUGAGGUACGAAAGCGUGGGGAGCAAAC
rnacentral:rRNA from 1 species